GUCUCUUCAGGGACAUCUGAUAAAAUUGGAACGAUACAAACAAGAUUAGAGUGGCUCUUGCGCAAGGACGACAAAUAUAGAUUGAGAAAUGAUUCAGGUUUUA